GACGAACGCUGGCGGCGUGCCUAAUACAUGCAAGUAGAACGCACAGUUUAUACCGUAGCUUGCUACACCAUAGACUGUGAGUUGCGAACGGGUGAGUAACGCGUAGGUAACCUGCCUGGUAGCGGGGGAUAACUAUGGGAAACGAUAGCUAAUACCGCAUAAUAUUAAUUAUUGCAUGAUAAUUAAUGGAAAGGUGCAAUUGCACCACUACCAGAUGGACCUGCGCUGUAUUAGCUAGUAGGUGAGGUAACGGCUCACCUAGGCGACGAUACAUAGCCGACGUGAGAGGGUGGUAGGCCACCCGGGGGCUUAGACGCCGCCCAGGCUCCUGCGGGAGGCAGCAGUAGGCAACGUUCGGCAAUGGUCGAAAGUCUGGCCGAGCAAGGCCGCGCGAGUGACGACGGCUUUGCGAUCGUAAAGAUCUGUUGUGAGUGAAGAACGGGUGUGAGCGUGGAAAGUUCACACUGUGCCGGUAUCUUACCAGAAAGGGACGGCUAACUCCGU
rnacentral:rRNA from 1 species